rnacentral:lncRNA from 1 species
CAGCAGUAACCAGGAUCCUGAGGUUUUGCUGCUGCGUGUUCUUUCUCUCGCCGCUUCCGUUCUCUAUCUGAACCAGCCUUUGGUUCUGCUAUAAAGGAAGGAAGGGUGGGGGCUCUGGCCACGGCUGGUGACUGAGACUUCAGAGAGGGAAGCACCUGGGUCCGCUGAAGCCCACGAUAACCAAAGUCCCAUCCACAUUGUAACUCUCAGGUUCAGACCACCGAGGCUCAGAGACCUGAUCAGUCCCAGCUCAAACACACCAGGUCCGUGGCUGAGACGGGGAGAGAACCCAGGAGUCCUGGCUCCCAGCCCCAGUGUCUGCCUGUUAAUCACCUGACCUGUCAGCGCUUGCUGUCCUACAGGGCCCACGUGACCUUGUGGUCUGCUCCGUCAUGACAAAAGUGCUCAUCGCCCUCUGUGUCCUCAGCGCUCUCCAAGCGACCGCAGCAGCUCAGAACGAAACGGGGACGCCUCUGGCCUGUUUCUAUUGCAAAUCUGGGCAAAGCUGUCACACCGUCCCCCAGACCUGCUCCCCGCCCCAGGACGCCUGCAUCAUUGUUCAAGAACACAACACAUUCGGCGCGGAGAAUUCGGGCACGUACCAGUCCUGCGCCGACUCCCGCCAGAGCCUCACGGGCUUCCUGGCUUUUUACUUCGGGGCCAAGGUGGCCGUGGAGAUCCGGUCAGAGAUUUGCAAGAGCGGUGACUGCAGUGCCGAGUCCACGCCCUCCAGGCAGGCUAUCAGCAACGUCCCCAACGGGCUGCAGUGCCCGGCCUGCUACGCCCCGGGCUUCGAGAGCUGCGAGAGCGACGGGAACCUGCGCUGCACCGGAGGUGCUGACCAAUGUGCUGCCGUCGGCGGGACACUGGCGCAAGGUGCGGCUUCCUUCACUCCGGGGCGGGUUAAAUCCCCGGGGAGCCGGGGGGUGUCCUGGGGCUCGU